GUGACGUCGGCGGCGGCGGGCGGGAUUUCCCGGCCCCUCCCGGGCGCCAGACUAGACCCUGGUGCGGAGUGGGCGCGACCAACGUGGGCGGGAGGAAGCGGGGCCGGGGGGCGCGCGCUCGGCGCCCUCAGGGCAUGGACGUCCUCCUGCAGCCCGGCACGGGGGGCUGAGCGGGCAGAGUACUUGGCGUCCGCUGACUCCGCUCUCAAACUGGGCACCGGCUCGGCCACCUGCGCCCCCUCGGCCUCGCGUCGUCUGUCCUCUGCCCGGGCGGGGAGGCGCGGGGCGGGGCGGGGCUGGUGACGCGGCCCGGAGACCCCGGGGCGGCGCGGGGCGCGAGGCGCGCGUUUGCACCGCGAACCCAUCAGCGGCGAGGCGCGCGGGAGCUGGGGCGCUGAGCCGGAGCCCCCCCGCCCGCCAGCCCCGCGCCCGGAUGAGGAGCGAUGCCGCUCGGUCUGGCCGCCCCCCGCGUGCGCCGCGCCGGAGACAAAGCCCGCGCCUGAGCGGCUCCCUCGGCCCGCGUCCCCGCGCCGCUGUCAGUGCAGGCGCGCGAAGCGGGGACUGUGAUCACCCCGGGCGCCCGCACAGGUGGGCGUCGGCGCCCGGCGCUGGCAGGUGCGGGGCUCCUCGAACCCAGGACCUUCCGCCGAGCCCUGGGGAACCCAGCGCAGGUUUGGACAGACUCGGAACGCUUGGGGGGUCUCGGGGGUCGGGGUAGCCCGAUCUCUGCAGCUUGAGGCGGGAGAGGCUCCUGGGGACCCCUUUCCCAUAUGUAGGUCACGGAGCGUUCGCUGUUCUCUCGGCAGCGACGUCCCCCGUUGAAGAGGACCGUAAUGGAAGGGAUGGAGUGGCCAGGUGGUCAUUUUAUUUGGGGACAUGUUUUUGGCGAGUGCCUGAAGAAGCCCUCUUGAUUCCCCAACCCCCCGGGACGCCUGCCUCGAGAGCAGUCCGGUGGCGAUAGUCCACGACAAGGCGAGGGCUUGUCCCCCCGCACCCCGCCCCUUAUGGCGUCUGUCCCCGAGGCUGGUGCUGAAAUGGGCUGCACUCGCGGCGUGCGCACCCAACGGCGUUGGGGGAGCUUUGGUUUAAUUUUUUAGUUGCCCUACAAAUAAUAACUGGAGGGUGAGGUAGGGGGGCAGAGGUGUGGCUGGAGAAGACUUCUUAAUAUGGGAGGAUUUACUUAUUUUUGUGUGGCUUGGGCUAGGGUGUUAGGAAAUCCAAAAAUGUUAAAGUUUGAUCAAGUGAGAAAGUGGAUCGUGGACACCAGAUCUCCCACCGUCUUCCCAGCUCUCCACCGCUGUCGGUUCUCUUCUCUUUCUGUUGUCUCCCAGGACUGUAAAAGGCUGGCACAGGGCCGGCCGUUUGGGUGAGAGCAAAAGGCCUCCUGGGCAGCACUGGUGUUCCCCGUUAAAACGUGUCAUCCCUAUCAUCUGCUCCUGAGUCCUCACUGUGAUGCGUCCUUCUCACAGUGGGACAGGAAAAUUCAGUGGCAGAUGCCUCAAAGCGGCAGCGAGGGAACCUGGGCUCUGUGGCUGGCUUCUUGAUUCUUUGGGGAAAUCCUUUUCGUGAUUUUUGCAUGCUGCGGGGGAAGAGAGGCACGCUGCCAUCUGAUCUGGCCCUGUUCCCUGCAGGAGGCUACUGUGGGAACACCCGAGGUGAUAAAUGGAAAGCCUUUUUCAGUCCUGAGAAGCAAGACACUAUACAU
ensembl:lncRNA